rnacentral:rRNA from 1 species
AGUGAAACGCUGGCGGUAGGCCUAACACAUGCAAGUCGAACGGCAGCACAGAGGAGCUUGCUCCUUGGGUGGCGAGUGGCGGACGGGUGAGGAAUACAUCGGAAUCUACUCUGUCGUGGGGGAUAACGUAGGGAAACUUACGCUAAUACCGCAUACGACCUACGGGUGAAAGCAGGGGAUCUUCGGACCUUGCGCGAUUGAAUGAGCCGAUGUCGGAUUAGCUAGUUGGCGGGGUAAAGGCCCACCAAGGCGACGAUCCGUAGCUGGUCUGAGAGGAUGAUCAGCCACACUGGAACUGAGACACGGUCCAGACUCCUACGGGAGGCAGCAGUGGGGAAUAUUGGACAAUGGGCGCAAGCCUGAUCCAGCCAUACCGCGUGGGUGAAGAAGGCCUUCGGGUUGUAAAGCCCUUUUGUUGGGAAAGAAAUCCAGCCGGCUAAUACCUGGUUGGGAUGACGGUACCCAAAGAAUAAGCACCGGCUAACUUCGUGCCAGCAGCCGCGGUAAUACGAAGGGUGCAAGCGUUACUCGGAAUUACUGGGCGUAAAGCGUGCGUAGGUGGUUAUUUAAGUCCGUUGUGAAAGCCCUGGGCUCAACCUGGGAACUGCAGUGGAUACUGGAUGACUAGAAUGUGGUAGAGGGUAGCGGAAUUCCUGGUGUAGCAGUGAAAUGCGUAGAGAUCAGGAGGAACAUCCAUGGCGAAGGCAGCUACCUGGACCAACAUUGACACUGAGGCACGAAAGCGUGGGGAGCAAACAGG